rnacentral:lncRNA from 1 species
GAGUCCAGUUAUUAGAGGUGAUGUGUGCGAGUAAGUUAGAACGUUAGUCCUCGGCGAUGACGCUUUAAGUUAAUCGGGACUUUAAACGACAUCAAGGUGGGCCCAUAACCCACAGGUUGGCGAUCCAUACAAUCGAUGAUAUGCUACGUGUUUUGCUAGUGACUUCACAGAUAAUGGGGAUGAAGUGGAGGCCAAGACUUAUUACGAACUAUAACGUCUACGAUGACAUCUUACGAGGCUAUUACGAAUCAACAUCGAUCGAUUAUCGAGAACAUUGAAAAGAAGACAUAUAUCGAACAAUGAUUUAUUGAAGCAGAGCGAAAAUCUGAG